AACAAAAUUUUUAAAUGAUGAAAAAUUUGUUGUUUAAUUUUCAGGUUUAUCAAACUCAGAAGCAUGCACUCGUGACAUAGACUGUUUGGGCCAGUGUAAACAUGGUGGUUUUUGUGACUUGACAACUAAAAAAUGUAGUUGUUUGCCGGUGUCAGAGCAGCUACCAUCUAACAUUGCAGCAACAGUGGAUGCUAUGCAGCGAUGAUAGAAACUUCAAAGGAUUGCCCACCAGCUUGUUAAGCCCAUAACAUUCAAGGUGGCAUUUGUGUCUGCAAACGUUGUGCCUGAAGAAAAAAAAAUCCGAACAAAAAACUCUAAAUUUAAGCCUUUCAACAAUGCCAAAUAUUAUAAGAUAAACUUUGUAUCCAAAAAAUUGGGAAAUAAAUUAUUAGUGAAUAAAAAGGUUGUCAAAGAGAACUUAUUUACUUAUGUUAUACUUCGUUCAAGUAUCGUAACUUCAUAUCUUUUCAAUUGACCAUGCAUGGUUCUAAUUUUCGAUCCAUCGAAUUUAUAUGUGGUCAAUGCAAUCCUUUAAUUAAUGGAUUUAACGACUAAUGUUAUAAUAUCAUGCCAACUAGUCAUUUCCACAUAAUUCGCACAAAAAGAGGCUUGAUUUAAUUAAUGGAUUUAACGACUACUGCUUGGGUUAAGAUAGAGAUAUCAAAACUCAAAAUAUGAUCUAAUUGGAGAAUAGGAACUAAACCCACAACUUACCGAUACUAUGAGAUUGAUAACAUAAUUUAAUCUACCCUAGAGUUUAUUUGGGCACUAGGAUUUCAAAUUUUAAAAAGUAGAAGGGUUACAAUAAUCGUGGGGAGAGAUGUAGAGGGACAAGGGACGGGUAAAUUUUUAUUUUUUAUAAUAACAUAUUUAUUUAAUAUUAAUAUUAAUAUAAAAUUGUUUUUAAUUAAAUUUUAGUGGGGUGUUGACUUUAGCCAUCCCAUUAGUUCAAACUUUAUUUUAAUGGCACUAACUACAGGUACCAAAUUCAGUAACAGAAUCAAAGUUUAGGUAUUUGGAUUGGCCAAAAAAUAGUUUCAGUACCUAUGUCAAACAAAGCAAAUAGUUCAAUGGCCUCCUAUUCAAUUAAGCCUUUAAUAAAAUCUCAAAUUAAAGAGAAAGAUGUUGGUAAAUGUGAUCGUAUUAUAGUAAACAUUUACCUAUUUUUUAUGUAUUUGAACGAUGGAUAAAUAAAUAAAGUUAAUUUCACAUUUCACUCUUAUAUCUUGUGUUUCUGUCUUCCAUGUUUUACUUACGUAUCAAAAUUGUAACAAGCAAAUGUUAGCUCAUUGAUUAUCUAAGUUGAAACUGAUGAUAAGUGUGGCACUAUAAGAAUGUUUACAUUUCGAGAAAGACAAUUUACUUCUAUUAAUAAUCUAAACAAGUCUGUAAUCCCGUAAAAGAAUCAAAGUGAGCAUUUGAUUCAAAUACUCAAAAGCAUUAUUAUGUUGUCUAUAAUUCUAGUUAGGGAUGUGAUUAGUCUUGGCUAUCCGAGCAGUUGAAUCCACGGGUAGAGACAUAAUCGUAUUGCUUGGAAGAAUGAGACAUUAGACUGAACCUAAAAUGGAUCAAUUCACUUGUGACGUUCAUGGUGUGACUUACCUAAAUCCUAAGUUAGUCACUGACCAUGCGUAUGUAACUCAUGUGCUUUGAUAUUAGUGUAGGCUUAUGCUCUUAACAUGACCGAGUCGAUAGCCAAUAUGUUAGGUACAUGACUUGGGUUUGGCAUUACUUUACUAGCAACAAUGAAAUCCAUACCUCGACUAAGAGUUAACGAUAUCCUCUCAUUGAUAUUGUUUGGAUUGAUAAAAAUGGAUUUGGCCACGGGGUUGCUUGUUCUCGAACGAGUAAUUUGUCACAGUCAUUAGUUGACAAUGAUCAUAUUAACAAUUAAGAAUACACAACGAUGACGAUAAGAUAAAAUAUCAUUUUAGUGAGUGAAUAAAUCUAACUCAAAGGACUCAAUGAUAUCAUAUGAGAUCAUUAGACAAAGUAGUUGGAUGAAUUGCUUUCAUAAAGAGUAAACAAUAGGUAGUUUUCAAUAAUGGUACUAUAUGUGGACUGACUUCAAGAUUAAGUAAAUUGUGAAUUAUCUAAAUAAAGCUUCUGGACAUAAUUGCAUUUACUUGAGCAUAAUUGUAUAUGUUCGAUUGGUCCCUUUGCUAGCUCAACAAAAGCUCAAUCAGACUGCAUUUGAAUCAAAAGAAAAUUCUAUGACUUUGAAAAUAAUUUAAUUGAGUCGAUUUAUUCAGGAUAACUAUUGUGCCACCUUUAUUAGAAACGCAUUGAGUUGGACUUACUCUCUCACUAUCAGAGAUAACACACACAAUACAAACAUCCAACUGUUUAGUGAUUUCUUUUUUACUACCUCCUCCAUAGUUGGGUUUAACCGACAUUACGCAUCAACAAUUGGCUUCUUAUCUUAUUCCAGCAAAAGUUACAAAAAUAUAAAUUAUAAAAACAAAAAACGAUCUAAUUAGAGAAUAUGAACUAAAUCCACAACUAACGCAUAGUACGAGACUAAUAGCAUAAUUUAAUCUAACAAAUUUAACUUCUAUUGUUUAUGCAAGUACUAGAAUUUCAAAUUAAAAAAGUAGAAUAAUUAUAAUUGAUCAGAUAAAACUAAAAGGACUAAAUCCACAACUUAUGUAUGGUAAAAAGAUUAAUAAAAAAAUUCAAUCGUAUGAAUUAGGGUUUAUUUUUUAAGUUCACGAGCACAAUUACUAAGGUGUGGAUAAAAAUAAUAGCCAAUUAUUUCCAAUUUUUUAUUACCUACAAGUUAUUGUAUAAAAAUAUUAUCUUCAAUUAAUUAUCAAAAAAAGAAAAAUGUUAAUAUAUGGUAACUAUAUCUAAAUUAAUUGUGCUAUUAUUAUCUUGCCAUAGGUGACGUAUAAAGCAUACUGCAAAAUCUUUUAUAUGAUUUUUCUCUUCCGACAAAAUUCGCAAGUAUAUCUUCACCUACCAAGUCAUAACUUUACUGCGAUAUUAGGUUAAAAAAAUUCCAAGAAAUUCAACUAUAAAUGGCCAAAUGCAUGUCAUUUUUUGUAUAUCAUCAGCUUGUUAUCAUAUAACUAACUCUUUGUUUCAUCUCUCAAUAGCUUUCAUUUUAAACUAUGGCUUAUUUCGGCGUGGUUUCUCUUUUUGCGGUUUUGCUUGUGGCUUCUUGUUAGUAUCUAAAAUAUUUAUCCAGUUCAAUAUUUAAUUAUUACAUACAUAUAUAUACAUGUAACUUUUUUAGUAUAUAAGAGAUUGCAGUAUUAAAAUGAGGGAGGAUUUGCAAUCGUUGCGAUUCGAAUCCUAUGUGUCUUAAACUAAUUAUAUAUAAUAGCUAAUAUAAAAUAACUAACAAAAUUUUUAAAUGAUGAAAAAUUUGUUGUUUAAUUUUCAGGUUUAUCAAACUCAGAAGCAUGCACUCGUGACAUAGACUGUUUGGGCCAGUGUAAACAUGGUGGUUUUUGUGACUUGACAACUAAAAAAUGUAGUUGUUUGCCGGUGUCAGAGCAGCUACCAUCUAACAUUGCAGCAACAGUGGAUGCUAUGCAGCGAUGACAGAAACUUCAAAGGAUUGCCCACCAGCUUGUUAAGCCCAUAACAUUCAAGGUGGCAUUUGUGUCUGCAAACGUUGUGCCUGAAGAAAAAAAAUCCGAACAAAAAACUCUAAAUUUAAGCCUUUCGACAAUGCCAAAUAUUAUAAGAUAAACUUUGUAUCCAAAAAAUUGGGAAAUAAAUUAUUAGUGAAUAAAAAGGUUGUCAAAGAGAACUUAUUUACUUAUGUUAUACUUCGUUCAAGUAUCGUAACUUCAUAUCUUUUCAAUUGACCAUGCAUGGUUCUAAUUUUCGAUCCAUCGAAUUUAUAUGUGGUCAAUGCAAUCCUUUAAUUAAUGGAUUUAACGACUAAUGUUAUAAUAUCAUGCCAACUAGUCAUUUCCACAUAAUUCGCACAAAAAGAGGCUUGAUUUAAUUAAUGGAUUUAACGACUACUGCUUGGGUUAAGAUAGAGAUAUCAAAACUCAAAAUAUGAUCUAAUUGGAGAAUAGGAACUAAACCCACAACUUACCGAUACUAUGAGAUUGAUAACAUAAUUUAAUCUACCCUAGAGUUUAUUUGGGCACUAGGAUUUCAAAUUUUAAAAAGUAGAAGGGUUACAAUAAUCGUGGGGAGAGAUGUAGAGGGACAAGGGAUGGGUAAAUUUUUAUUUUUUAUAAUAACAUAUUUAUUUAAUAUUAAUAUUAAUAUAAAAUUGUUUUUAAUUAAAUUUUAGUGGGGUGUUGACUUUAGCCAUCCCAUUAGUUCAAACUUUAUUUUAAUGGCACUAACUACAGGUACCAAAUUCAGUAACAGAAUCAAAGUUUAGGUAUUUGGAUUGGCCAAAAACUAGUUUCAGUACCUAUGUCAAACAAAGCAAAUAGUUCAAUGGCCUCCUAUUCAAUUAAGCCUUUAAUAAAAUCUCAAAUUAAAGAGAAAGAUGUUGGUAAAUGUGAUCGUAUUAUAGUAAACAUUUACCUAUUUUCUAUGUAUUUGAACGAUGGAUAAAUAAAUAAAGUUAAUUUCACAUUUCACUCUUAUAUCUUGUGUUUCUGUCUUCCAUGUUUUACUUACGUAUCAAAAUUGUAACAAGCAAAUGUUAGCUCAUUGAUUAUCUAAGUUGAAACUGAUGAUAAGUGUGGCACUAUAAGAAUGUUUACAUUUCGAGAAAGACAAUUUACUUCUAUUAAUAAUCUAAACAAGUCUGUAAUCCCGUAAAAGAAUCAAAGUGAGCAUUUGAUUCAAAUACUCAAAAGCAUUAUUAUGUUGUCUAUAAUUCUAGUUAGGGAUGUGAUUAGUCUUGGCUAUCCGAGCAGUUGAAUCCACGGGUAGAGACAUAAUCGUAUUGCUUGGAAGAAUGAGACAUUAGACUGAACCUAAAAUGGAUCAAUUCACUUGUGACGUUCAUGGUGUGACUUACCUAAAUCCUAAGUUAGUCACUGACCAUGCGUAUGUAACUCAUGUGCUUUGAUAUUAGUGUAGGCUUAUGCUCUUAACAUGACCGAUUCGAUAGCCAAUAUGUUAGGUACAUGACUUGGGUUUGGCAUUACUUUACUAGCAACAAUGAAAUCCAUACCUCGACUAAGAGUUAACGAUAUCCUCUCAUUGAUAUUGUUUGGAUUGAUAAAAAUGGAUUUGGCCACGGGGUUGCUUGUUCUCGAACGAGUAAUUUGUCACAGUCAUUAGUUGACAAUGAUCAUAUUAACAAUUAAGAAUACACAACGAUGACGAUAAGAUAAAAUAUCAUUUUAGUGAGUGAAUAAAUCUAACUCAAUGGACUCAAUGAUAUCAUAUGAGAUCAUUAGACAAAGUAGUUGGAUGAAUUGCUUUCAUAAAGAGUAAACAAUAGGUAGUUUUCAAUAAUGGUACUAUAUGUGGACUGACUUCAAGAUUAAGUAAAUUGUGAAUUAUCUAAAUAAAGCUUCUGGACAUAAUUGCAUUUACUUGAGCCUAAUUGUAUAUGUUCGAUUGGUCCCUUUGCUAGCUCAACAAAAGCUCAAUCAGACUGCAUUUGAAUCAAAAGAAAUUCUAUGACUUUGAAAAUAAUUUAAUUGAGUCGAUUUAUUCAAGAUAACUAUUGUGCCACCUUUAUUAGAAACGCAUUGAGUUGGACUUACUCUCUCACUAUCAGAGAUAACAUACACAAUACAAACAUCCAACUGUUUAGUGAUUUCUUUUUUACUACCUCCUCCAUAGUUGGGUUUAACCGACAUUACGCAUCAACAAUUGGCUUCUUAUCUUAUUCCAGCAAAAGUUACAAAAAUAUAAAUUAUAAAACAAAAACGAUCUAAUUAGAGAAUAUGAACUAAAUCCACAACUAACACAUAGUACGAGACUAAUAGCAUAAUUUAAUCUAACAAAUUUAACUUCUAUUGUUUAUGCAAGUACUAGAAUUUCAAAUUAAAAAAGUAGAAUAAUUAUAAUUGAUCAGAUAAAACUAAAAGGACUAAAUCCACAACUUAUGUAUGGUAAAAAGAUUAAUAAAAAAAAUUCAAUCGUAUGAAUUAGGGUUUAUUUUUUAAGUUCACGAGCACAAUUACUAAGGUGUGGAUAAAAAUAAUAGCCAAUUAUUUCCAAUUUUUUAUUACCUACAAGUUAUUGUAUAAAAAUAUUAUCUUCAAUUAAUUAUCAAAAAAAGAAAAAUGUUAAUAUAUGGUAACUAUAUCUAAAUUAAUUGUGCUAUUAUUAUCUUGCCAUAGGUGACGUAUAAAGCAUACUGCAAAAUCUUCUAUAUGAUUUUUCUCUUCCGACAAAAUUCGCAAGUAUAUCUUCACCUACCAAGUCAUAACUUUACUGCGAUAUUAGGUUAAAAAAAUUCCAAGAAAUUCAACUAUAAAUGGCCAAAUGCAUGUCAUUUUUUGUAUAUCAUCAGCUUGUUAUCAUACAACUAACUCUUUGUUUCAUCUCUCAAUAGCUUUCAUUUUAAACUAUGGCUUAUUUCGGCGUGGUUUCUCUUUUUGCAGUUUUGCUUGUGGCUUCUUGUUAGUAUCUAAAAUAUUUAUCCAGUUCAAUAUUUAAUUAUUACAUACAUAUAUAUACAUGUAACUUUUUUAGUAUACAAGAGAUUGCAGUAUUAAAAUGAGGGAGGAUUUGCAAUCGUUGCGAUUCGAAUCCUAUGUGUCUUAAACUAAUUAUAUAUAAUAGCUAAUAUAAAAUAACUAACAAAAUUUUUAAAUGAUGAAAAAUUUGUUGUUUAAUUUUCAGGUUUAUCAAACUCAGAAGCAUGCACUCGUGACAUAGACUGUUUGGGCCAGUGUAAACAUGGUGGUUUUUGUGACUUGACAACUAAAAAAUGUAGUUGUUUGCCGGUGUCAGAGCAGCUACCAUCUAACAUUGCAGCAACAGUGGAUGCUAUGCAGCGAUGACAGAAACUUCAAAGGAUUGCCCACCAGCUUGUUAAGCCCAUAACAUUCAGGUGGCAUUUGUGUCUGCAAACGCUGUGCCUGAAGCAAAAAAAAAUCCGAACAAAAAACUCUAAAUUUAAGCCUUUCAACAAUGCCAAAUAUUAUAAGAUAAACUUUGUAUCCAAAAAAUUGGGAAAUAAAUUAUUAGUGAAUAAAAAGGUUGUCAAAGAGAACUUAUUUACUUAUGUUAUACUUCGUUCAAGUAUCGUAACUUCAUAUCUUUUCAAUUGACCAUGCAUGGUUCUAAUUUUCGAUCCAUCGAAUUUAUAUGUGGUCAAUGCAAUCCUUUAAUUAAUGGAUUUAACGACUAAUGUUAUAAUAUCAUGCCAACUAGUCAUUUCCACAUAAUUCGCACAAAAAGAGGCUUGAUUUAAUUAAUGGAUUUAACGACUACUGCUUGGGUUAAGAUAGAGAUAUCAAAUCUCAAAAUAUGAUCUAAUUGGAGAAUAGGAACUAAACCCACAACUUACCGAUACUAUGAGAUUGAUAACAUAAUUUAAUCUACCUAGAGUUUAUUUGGGCACUAGGAUUUCAAAUUUAAAAAGUAGAAGGGUUACAAUAAUCGUGGGGAGAGAUGUAGAGGGACAAGGGACGGGUAAAUUUUUAUUUUUUAUAAUAACAUAUUUAUUUAAUAUUAAUAUUAAUAUAAAAUUGUUUUUAAUUAAAUUUUAGUGGGGUGUUGACUUUAGCCAUCCCAUUAGUUCAAACUUUAUUUUAAUGGCACUAACUACAGGUACCAAAUUCAGUAACAGAAUCAAAGUUUAGGUAUUUGGAUUGGCCAAAAAAUAGUUUCAGUACCUAUGUCAAACAAAGCAAAUAGUUCAAUGGCCUCCUAUUCAAUUAAGCCUUUAAUAAAAUCUCAAAUUAAAGAGAAAGAUGUUGGUAAAUGUGAUCGUAUUAUAGUAAACAUUUACCUAUUUUCUAUGUAUUUGAACGAUGGAUAAAUAAAUAAAGUUAAUUUCACAUUUCACUCUUAUAUCUUGUGUUUCUGUCUUCCAUGUUUUAGCUUACGUAUCAAAAUUGUAACAAGCAAAUGUUAGCUCAUUGAUUGUCUAAGUUGAAACUGAUGAUAAGUGUGGCACUAUAAGAAUGUUUACAUUUCGAGAAAGACAAUUUACUUCUAUUAAUAAUCUAAACAAGUCUGUAAUCCCGUAAAAGAAUCAAAGUGAGCAUUUGAUUCAAAUACUCAAAAGCAUUAUUAUGUUGUCUAUAAUUCUAGUUAGGGAUGUGAUUAGUCUUGGCUAUCCGAGCAGUUGAAUCCACGGGUAGAGACAUAAUCGUAUUGCUUGGAAGAAUGAGACAUUAGACUGAACCUAAAAUGGAUCAAUUCACUUGUGACGUUCAUGGUGUGACUUACCUAAAUCCUAAGUUAGUCACUGACCAUGCGUAUGUAACUCAUGUGCUUUGAUAUUAGUGUAGGCAUAUGCUCUUAACAUGACCGAGUCGAUAGCCAUAUGUUAGGUACAUGACUUGGGUUUGGCAUUACUUUACUAGCAACAAUGAAAUCCAUACCUCGACUAAGAGUUAACGAUAUCCUCUCAUUGAUAUUGUUUGGAUUGAUAAAAAUGGAUUUGGCCACGGGGUUUGCUUGUUCUCGAACGAGUAAUUUGUCACAGUCAUUAGUUGACAAUGAUCAUAUUAACAAUUAAGAAUACACAACGAUGACGAUAAGAUAAAAUAUCAUUUUAGUGAGUGAAUAAAUCUAACUCAAUGGACUCAAUGAUAUCAUAUGAGAUCAUUAGACAAAGUAGUUGGAUGAAUUGCUUUCAUAAAGAGUAAAACAAUAGGUAGUUUUCAAUAAUGGUACUAUAUGUGGACUGACUUCAAGAUUAAGUAAAUUGUGAAUUAUCUAAAUAAAGCUUCUAGACAUAAUUGCAUUUACUUGAGCCUAAUUGUAUAUGUUCGAUUGGUCCCUUUGCUAGCUCAACAAAAGCUCAAUCAGACUGCAUUUGAAUCAAAAGAAAAUUCUAUGACUUUGAAAAUAAUUUAAUUGAGUCGAUUUAUUCAGGAUAACUAUUGUGCCACCUUUAUUAGAAACGCAUUGAGUUGGACUUACUCUCUCACUAUCAGAGAUAACAUACACAAUACAAACAUCCAACUGUUUAGUGAUUUCGUUUUUACUACCUCCUCCAUAGUUGGGUUUAACGACAUUUACGCAUCAACAAUUGGCUUCUUAUCUUAUUCCAGCAAAAGUUACAAAAAUAUAAAUUAUAAAAACAAAAAACGAUCUAAUUAGAGAAUAUGAAACUAAAUCCACAACUAACACAUAGUACGAGACUAAUAGCAUAAUUUAAUCUAACAAAUUUAACUUCUAUUGUUUUAUGCAAGUACUAGAAUUUCAAAUUAAAAAAGUAGAAUAAUUAUAAUUGAUCAGAUAAAACUAAAAGGACUAAAUCCCAACUUAUGUAUGGUAAAAAGAUUAAUAAAAAAAAUUCAAUCGUAUGAAAUUAGGGGUUAUUUUUAAGUUCACGAGCACAAAUUACUAAGGUGUGGAUCAAAAUAAUAGCCAAUUAAUUUCCAAUUUUUUUAUUACCUACAAGUUAUUGUAUAAAAAUAUUAUCUUCAAUAAUAUCAAAAAAAGAAAAAUGUUAAUAUAUGGUAACUAUAUCUAAAUUAAUUGUGCUAUUAUUAUCUUGCCAUAGGUGACGUAUAAAGCAUAGUGCAAAAUCUUCUAUAUGAUUUUUCUCUUCCGACAAAAUUCGCAAGUAUAUCUUCACCUACCAAGUCAUAACUUUACUGCGAUAUUAGGUUAAAAAAAUUCCAAGAAAUUCAACUAUAAAUGGCCAAAUGCAUGUCAUUUUUUGUAUAUCAUCAGCUUGUUAUCAUAUAACUAACUCUUUGUUUCAUCUCUCAAUAGCUUUCAUUUUAAACUAUGGCUUAUUUCGGCGUGGUUUCUCUUUUGCGGUUUUGCUUGUGGCUUCUUGUUAGUAUCUAAAAUAUUUAUCCAGUUCAAUAUUUAAUUAUUACAUACAUAUAUACAUGUAACUUUUUUAGUAUACAAGAGAUUGCAGUAUUAAAAUGAGGGAGGAUUUGCAAUCGUUGCGAUUCGAAUCCUAUGUGUCUUAAACUAAUUAUAUAUAAUAGCUAAUAUAAAAUAACUAACAAAAUUUUUAAAUGAUGAAAAAUUUGUUGUUUAAUUUUCAGGUUUAUCAAACUCAGAAGCAUGCACUCGUGACAUAGACUGUUUGGGCCAGUGUAAACAUGGUGGUUUUUGUGACUUGACAACUAAAAAAUGUAGUUGUUUGCCGGUGUCAGAGCAGCUACCAUCUAACAUUGCAGCAACAGUGGAUGCUAUGCAGCGAUGACAGAAACUUCAAAGGAUUGCCCACCAGCUUGUUAAGCCCAUAACAUUCAAGGUGGCAUUUGUGUCUGCAAACGUUGUGCCUGAAGAAAAAAAAAAUCCGAACAAAAAAACUCUAAAUUUAAGCCUUUCAACAAUGCCAAAUAUUAUAAGAUAAACUUUGUAUCCAAAAAAUUGGGAAAUAAAUUGUUAGUGAAUAAAAAGGUUGUCAAAGAGAACUUAUUUACUUAUGUUAUACUUCGUUCAAGUAUCGUAACUUCAUAUCUUUUCAAUUGACC
rnacentral:lncRNA from 1 species